GGCACCUGGUAUAGGCUGUUUGCAGCGUCUCCGGGAGAAGAUGGGAAGCAGGAAAUUCGGGAGCACUCAGGGGGCUGUUUCCAAAGGAUGAUUUCCUCCCCUCUCCCCCUUGACUAUGCUCAAUCCUGGCUGCGUAACAGUGGCCUAAAACAUUAGCAGAAUGUGAAGAGGAGAACACCGAGCUCCUUUAUACCCGUGUAGACCCAAUUGCUUAACAACCAAUGGCUUCAUCCAGUCCAUAGAGGCAGCUGAGAGGCCUAAGACAGUGCAAACCCACUGGGGAUUUUGUAUCCUUGACUCUAAUGGAACUACACCAGGGAUGGAUUCAGACCUUUGAGAGAGAGGAACGGCUCCUUCUGCUGUGUUCCGUGUGAUCCUAGCCAGACCUACUUUAAAACAUUUGCUCUCUGAGCAAUUGCUGGAGCAGACAUGACCAGAGCCUCUGAUCAACGGCACUGGAUCAGGCAUUGGGUGGUGCGAAGAAACAAUACAACAAGCCCUAGGAACACCACCCUCCUCUCUUUCUGACCCCCACUACCUUCCCAUCACAAAGAAAAGAGUUUGUGUUAGUCUAAAGGCUGAGGACCAGGUUGACGAGAUGAGGGUUAACUCUCCUGGAUGGAAUCAGACUAAACCCAGCACUUUAAACGGGCUUCAUCCAGUAAGAUGCAGCAGAAGAAAGGAAGUCCCAAAAACCACAGGCACAGCCACUCGCUAUGUCUGCUACAGAAGCAACAACAAAGGAAGAACAUCGCAGUGUCCAAGCGUAACGUUAUGGUAAAAGUCGGACGCAGAGAAGAGGUGCAGGGAACAGAGGCUGUGGUGAGAAGAUGGGGAGUAAGGAGAUGAACAAGGCUGCUAGCAUUGUGUCGAAAUUUCUAGUCUCUACAGCCUUUAAACUGGCUUCAAUUGUUUAAUUGAAACAGGUAGUAAAAUAACCCCCUCUGGCGGCCAUAAAGAAAAUUAGACUGCUGUUAAUCAUGCACAAGGACCUGACCUUGUCAUUAUCCGAGAGUAGGAGCUCCCAAGUUUUAUUUACAGGUUUAUAGAGCGCUCAACACAACAGGACCUCUUGAUGUCAACCUCUAGGUGCUACUACAAUACAAACAACAGGGUCUGCAGUGUGAUGAAAGCAAAGUUAGACGGAGACUACAGAUUAGAUGAAUGCACAACAAUGCGGAGUUUUUACUUUCAAGAUUCUUCAUCCUCUUUCGAGUCAUUUUCGUACUCCCUUGUUCACAGAGGAUGUUCCAGUUUGCACUGUCACUGGUAUCAUGGAUGGCAAUCUGGUAUAUGUGGCCUUAUUUAUGCUGUUUUUCUGCCAAAAAGUUCCUCCCUUUGCAGUCAGUAGUUCUGGCCCACCAGUGGUAACGCUGGUUAGUUACAGUGCUAGGGUAGACAAGGCUCCAUGUAACUAACAGUAUUUUAACCACCACAUUAUCUAGACCUGCCGUAAGCAGAGUUGGACAAUGAUGCAUGUAUGAGAUAUCACAGACACCAUAUUAUUCACGUGUGCGCUAGCAUAACUCCGCUCCCGCUGAAACCACUGGUCAAACUCAUAUUGACUUCAAUAGGAGAAUUAGGUUAAUGAUGAGUGCUUAUGAAAAUCCCACCCAGGACUAGAACUGAGAGUUUGAUACAGUUUAUUACACGUUUGUAGUAUCGGUGUGAUGACUAAUUGCUAAUGUCAAUAAAAUGUGUAUUGUAAAGAUACUUAAAACUGUGUAGCAGCCACUCACUUUAGAACUAUCAGAGUUUUUAUAUGCAGUCACAAAUGCUGGAAGAUUUCUAGGAGAAUGAAGACCUGAUUCUGAGCCAGACCUUAACCAGGACUUCCUUGGCCCAGGUACAACUGGGACAGACAGACAGUGGGACAUACAUUGCAGGUUUGAACAUUUCUUUAAAACAUCUAGCCUUCAGUAUAUAGGGCAGUAAAGUGAAAACCUGAGCAAUAUGAUGGAGAAUUAUAAACAUUAGCCAUUAACACUUGAAAUCAGAUGUGGAUAGAAUACAUUUCACAAAGACAAGCAUAAGCCUUUCUGCAUUUCCUGGCAGAAGGGGACUUAUCUAUUGUGUGAUACAACAGCCUCAGAACGCUGCUCGGCAGAGCAUGAAGGGAAAGACAAAGGCAGAUUUACAAACUGUGGAAGGCUGAUAGCAUUGUGUUUGCUCGUCUGAGCAGGGAAUAGGAAGCUCAGUGAGAUACA